rnacentral:lncRNA from 1 species
UCGCGCUCGCUUCCAUUGCAAAUCGCGGCGCCUCCUCGAAACUUGCUUUUGUGGGAAUCGCCCAGCCCAGCGCUGCCCGGGCGUUUGCACCAGCGUGUUCCCUCCCAGGUGCCUGCCGCGGGUCUCCUCCCUGCUGCUCUCCCACGACCGCGACCACCUUAUUUAAAAAACGUGUGCAUGUAUGUAGAUCUACGCGAGGUCGCCCCCCGUCCUCCUCCUGCUGGUCCCACCUCUGCGCUCUCGUCGGCUUUUUCGCUGCGACCGGUGAUGGGGGCGCGGGGGGUUGGUCGGGCGGGGGCGGGUGGCGAGCGCGGUCCAGGGAGUGGCGGGCUCGUGUGGCCGGGCUCUGGUCGGCUACUUGGGGCAUCUCGGCUCUGCCUGCACCCGCCUGGGACCGCGGGGAGGGCUGUCAGCACCAGGGCGGCGGAAACGGGGAGCCCCACGUCUCCAGACGAGCGAGCGAGCGAGGGACGCAGGCUUGGGGGUGAUGGAGCGCUCGGCUGGGUGGCUGGCGAGCGUCCAGACAUCAUCGCUUUCCUUCCUACUCCCCCGCCCCUCUCCGGCUCGCUCUCUCAUUUCUUUCUUCCUUUCCUUUCACUGGCUCCAUUCUGUUCCCUCCCUUACCUCUUUUUUUUUUUUUUCCUCAUUUCCUUUUUACCCCCUUCCCUCUUGAGAUAAAAGAAAGGGGAAUCGUUUUGCAACCUUGCAUUCUAGGAGCAUGGGAAGAGCAGUGAAGCCUGCGGCGUGGCCACCUCAACCUGGUCGUUUUCAGACUCGUCGUCAUCCAUCAACAUGUUUGUGUCCUGAGUCUAUUGAUCUCCCCUGAUUUUGCAGAAAUGCAUUCUGAGCCGGGCGUCUGGAUGUCAAAAAUCAGAGCUCGCUUCCUUGCUCCCUGUAUGACACGUAUUGUAAGGGCUCCAUGUGUUUUAAAUCCACAUAAGCCAUGGUUAUAAAGAAACCCAUCUGUAAAAAAAUUCGGCCUUAUUCUAGAGAAACUUCUCUCUUAAAUUAUUGAUAGACCCUUUCCCUUCUUUGAUAUUUAAUUUUAGGAGACUUGGGAGACAGUUGUGUUUUUUUUUUUUUUUUUCUUCCAGUGUAUGAGGACCAUGCAACUUCUAUUACCUUAAUUAUCUCCUCUUCUAACCUCAUUCAGUUUUAUCCUUGGUCACUGGAGUGAGUAUUUCAUAACUAAGGUUUAGAGGCUUGCUUCCCUAAGUCAGGGCUGGCUAAGAAAACCAAGUGGGGGGCCAGGGUAUUCAGACCUGCCAAAGAAUAGAAGAGGCAUCUUUUGAAACUCUAGUGUCAAAAGCAUAACUAGAUUCUGACUUGAAUACUGAAGACAUGAAAAUAAAAUAAAUCCAGACGGCUUUUGGUUCUUAGCAUGUGUGUAACCAUAGUGGAUAGGAGUAAGUGAAAACUUAGGGAAAAACGGAGCCUAUAUUAUAGAACCCAUUCAGCCUUGUUUAUGUGGAGGCGCUUUUUCACGAUGGUUUUCUUUUUCUUUGAAACUUAAGAUGUCUGUGACAUGUGAAAACAAAGGGAAAAAAGGACUUGUUUAACCAGAAAUAGGAUUUAUAUAGAUUUCUUUUCUUUCUCAACAGAUCUAGUUGCUCUAAAGUUUUCCUGAGGUCAGACUAUUUCAUGGUUGAAAACAAUACUAAUCAAUGAUUUUUCCUUCACUUUGUUUCAGCGGCGUACACAGUUCCUCUAGAAAGAGGUCUUAGUUUUAGAGAGCUCCCCUUGCCUUCUUUCCUUUGUCUGCACAUUUGUUUUUAAAUUCAACUGUUAAUAUAGAAUAAAGGAUCUGGGAGCAGAGAAUGGAUCAGGAAGAAGAGAAACUGCUAAGAUGAUGGAAACUAUAUCCAAACCAAUAAAAGAUAGAUAUUGCCAUGCCGACCCCCCGUCUUUGUUUUUAGUCAGUUGAGAAGCUGUGGGUUUUAACUGUGUUUUCCUCUUCUUAAUUCUGCACCUAAUGCUUUUCGUACCUGAGGUCAUGUUUAUCCAGUUCAAAUGAUUAUUUACAAAAGACUUAAAUCCGCGUGCCAGUGAAACCCCAAAAGCAUGCUUUUCCUCUCAUGUUUUUGUCACCUAGUGAUAGCGGUGGUGGUCUUACAUUAUUGGUUGCAUCUGACUUUGGGUUUUUGGUGUUCUUUGGUUGGGUGGCUGGGUAGGUUGCUUGAGAUACAUUUAUAGGAUAGUCCUGGCAGGCUGCAUGGAACUUGAAUGCACAGUUAAUUGUAGAUGCAGUAAAGUGUUUGUUUUUCUUGUUGUUGGUUUAAGAGAUGUCAUGCCUUCCUGCACAUUUCAUGUUUUGGUGUGACUACUCCUUUGUGUGUGUGUAAAAGGUUCACCAUAAAGCAGGGCCUGAUGAAGGCCUGUGUGAUUUGAGGUUAAAAGGUAGAUUAGUGACAAGACAUAAAUUACUUUCUUAUUCGUAUACAUUGAUCCUGGAACUGUUUUCUCCCCUUGUGAUUGCGUCUGUAUGUGGAUCCUUUAAUGAAAGGUUGGCAAUGUGAACUGUCUAUUUAUGUAAAGAGGAAAACGCCCUCAAGUUUACUUGCCUCGGCUCCCCCUUUUUCAUGCAGAGGGAUUAACAGAUGCUUUUGAUGUGGUAUUUCAACAGCUGUUUUGCUGAGCACUGCUAAUUGCCAAGAAUAUGCUUUCUUGAUUCUGGCAUUGGUAUAAGACAUCUCUCAAGGUGUCUGGAGGGCUCCCAGUGACUCGCCCUUGUCACCCAUGGUGACCCGACGUGGCAGGCUGAAGUCUGGACACAGAUGGACACUUCGUGAUCCUUCAGAGACUUGAUAGGAAAAACGUGCUGCCUCCUUUACGUGGACUGGCAGUAACUUUUGGACUUGAAUCAGGACGACUCCCAGCUUUGCAAUUCCCCUUAGCCCUCAUUCACCUGAGGAGUGUGUGAAAUCCUCAGAAAACAUGUCAGUGCCUUUUUCUUUUAAACUGAAAAGAAUUUUUGAAGACCUGUGUUUGUGUAUCUGACUUUGUGUGCAGCCGGGACACUUAGGAUCAGAAUAUCACCAAAUCAAACACGAGAGGCUGUGUCAACUUUAGAAACGUUGGGAGCCAGGGAGGUGUGUUUGGAAAUAGGAGCCAAGAGGCCAAGGUUAAAUUCUUCCUUCUUACUGCAAUGCAAAGUUAUUCUUGGGGUGGCCUCCUUGUUCAUAGAGCUCCUUUAGCUUUGUUUUCUCUAGAAGAAAAAUGGGCAGCGUAGUCUUUUUCCUGUUUUUGAAUUGUCACAUAUAUGUGAACGUGACAUAAUCAUGUGUUCACACAAAUCACGUGUACACAGAAUCAGGUGCAUGUACUGUACGUAUGCAGCAGUGGUGGAUACUAACACACACACACACCACACAUUCGGAGGCAACAGACAAGACUUCUGAUGAGAGGAAGGAAAUCUUUCCUGUACCUUUGACACAUGGGUAAUGACACUAAGUAUUUCCUUACCUGCCGGAAAGGGCAAACAAGGUGCUGUCUGUUCUGUGGGUAUGGGUAGUGGGUGUGCAGGGACUAACCGCCUAACGUAAUAGGCAGAACUGAAUGACCCCAGCAGGUAAUACCCUUGUGCUUACAUGAACGUAAGUAAGGAGUACAUUUGUUUAACAAACCACUUAGGAUUGACUCCUUCCCCUCCCCCGUUUUGUAAGGAAAAGUAAUUUUCUGUAAGGUUAAGUGGACCUCAGGGUAGGAAGAAUCCCCGGAGCGCUCUUGCUGCCCAGACUUCAUUUUUCCCUCCCGAGUCUGUCAGCAGUAAUAUCUGAUAUGAGCCUCUGGUGGUGAUGUUUCCAUAGGUCAUCAUCCUUCUCUGUCCCAGAUGAAGUCUCAGGACAAGCCCUGCAGUAGCACAGAUUCUGAAUUCAGUGCAUCAUUCAAGUUGGUUACAUAACUCAGAGGCCUUGGGUUUGUUUUUUUCCCCUUAAAGCUCCAGGUCUUUGGAAUUGGAUCUAUUUACUCUUCCCUUGUUUUCUCUAAACAUUGCAAAGUUGAUUUUACAAUAAGCCCCGUGCCUGUCAGGAUUUAAAAGCUGCUUGUUCGUGUCAUUAGAUUUACAAUGUUUGGACAAUGAUACUUUUAUUUUCAGUCUGGGCCACAUUUUCACAAGAGCCAUAGCGAUUAGGACAACUGCUGGUCAUGUGCGUUUGGGAGACUACUUGAGAUCGUGGCACCUGGAGAUUUCAGGGCUGGAAGCAAUACCGGUGACGUCGGCCGAAGUUCUCCAGAGAAUGGACUGGAAAGUCAGCAGUUUUGACAAGAAGUGAUUUGCAACAGUUGAGGUACAGUCAGGAUUUGAAAGAAAAGUUCGUUUCUUUGCUCUUGCUUCGUAGAUUUUUAGAUGCAGUCCAUUUCUAUGUACAACUUAGAUCUGCUGUUCAGUCUCUUCUCUGGGGAACGUCACUGAAGCCUCGGGCAUAACUUAGUGGCUUUUGAUAGCUUUGUAGGCAUAGCACUGAGGAAGAAAUGGUACCUUUUCAUAUGCUCAUGUUGCAGUUCCAAACAUGAGCAUGAGGUCCAUCCUGCUAGGAGUUUUGUUUUUUGUUUUUUCCAGUCGCAAGAAAUAUUUAUGUUACUGUCUUUUGUUACCUCAUGAAGACAGGAUCAAACACCUUGGCUGCCUGAUUGUAUUGAUCCAUGUUAAGGCAGUAUUGUAAAAUACUUAAAGAGGUAGCUUCUGGAGUAGAUGCUUGAGUUUGAAUCCCAGCUCUGGCACUUGCUCUGUAGGUUAUUUUUGGUAGUUUUCUUAAUCCAAGUCUUAGUUUUCUCAUCUGUGAAACCAGUGUUGAGGGGAUCUUGGUAAAGAUUAAAACUGGAAGGCUGUUAAUGUAUUUAGGACUGCUUCUGACACGUAGCAAAUCUUCAUUUCGCAUUCACUGCUGUUGCUUUACGUCUCAACAAUGGCAGCAGUAUCAGAAUCCAGUUAUUUUUCUGUUUAGAGUUUUCCUUCUAAGUCUGACCUGAACGUGUGUCAUAAUACUCGUCCACAUGGAACUUGUGCCAUCCCCUCCUCUCCACCCCCAACCCCCAACCUCCCGCCUUAGCUUUUCUCUAUAGUCUCAAGCUGAGAAUAAUGCCCGCGUGCCUGGGAGAUAAGAAUACAUUUAUUUAGAGGGGAUCCAUUGUUCUCAUUUCUAGAAAAGCUUAUUUUAUAUUCAGUGGCAACUGAAUUAUCCAUGGAUUUUUUUAAUUCAAAAAUUGAAACACAACAUCAGGAUUAGCUGUAGAAGCAAUAUAAUAUGUCGGCCUAAAAAACUGACAAACGUAAAACUUCUAGUUUUAGUACUAUAGUGCUGUUGACUCACAAGCCAGAACCUAUUAUCACCUAUUGUUAAGCCUGCUAUUAUAACCCUAACGUAAUCCUAAAGCUACAAACUUUUACUAAAGAAGGGUGCUGAGGAAUUUUUUUUGUGGAGACACUUGGAGGCUCAUUGAUGACAAAAGUUGUUUGUUUAAAGAUGGGAUGUUUCAUCCUUGCUUCUUGCUUAGGGUGCUCCAGGAUGAAGAGAUGCAUUGCGUAGGUGUAAACUUCUUUGCAUUUUAAGGAGAUGUCUUCAUCUGCAAAAUGAAUGUAUUGCAUUAGUAUAUAUACCUCUUUAUUCAAAACUUUUCAUAGUGAAAAAUAGUAAAAGCAGAAGUAGAAAGGAUGGUAUAAUGGAAUCCCAAGGGCCUGUCCUCCAACGGCAGCAAAUGAGGUAACCUCCUAAGAUCCUCCCUGAUUCCGUGAUUCUCUGACCACGGAAAUUCUGAUGCAGUGUGGUUUUGAGGAUCUAGACCACCUGCUUCUUAAAUAAUAUUGAUCCUGCUGUCAAUAAUAUUGAUACUGAAGUGAUAGGUAUUAAGUGAUAACAUUGAACAUUUAAUGGCAAGUCAAUAAAAUAACAGACACAAAAUGAUACGUAAGAAAUGUAUUGGAAUUGAAUAAAUGCAAUGCCAGGGUUAAAAACUCUGGGCCUAGUUUGAUCCAACAGACAUUUAAUGGCUCCCUCGAAGAUGUCAUCCAGUAGCCUGAUUGAUGCCAUGUUGUCAUAUUUAAGAAUACUUUUCAAGAAACAGAGCUGUAAUGAGCAGUUCUAAAACUGUAUUGAGCAUUGUCUUUCUUUCACUUGGAAGCUUAUUUCAAGAUCGUAAAAGCCAGCCUCCAAGAUGGUCCCCAGGGAACAUUGCCUGUUGCUAGUCAUUCUCCUAUGAAUUCCCCUCCCAUAUUUUAAAAGCCCGGUUCUGUGUGACUGGUGGAACUUGGCAGUCGUGAUGGCGUAUGACGUGUGAGGCUGAGUUGUAGAAGACAUUGCCCCUUGGCCUUGCUCUCUUGGCUGACCCACUCUGGGAGAAGCCAGCUGCCAUGGUGUGGGGACACUCAAGCAGUCCCUAGAGGUUGACGUGGGAAGGAAGUGAGGACUGCUUAUGGCCAGUUUAUCAGCCAGAUGCAGGCGCCACCUUGAAGGAGGGUCCUUUGGCCCUGGUAAAGUCUUCAGUUGACUGCAGGCCUUGGUAACACACUGACUGUAUCGUCUUGAAUCAUCUAACUAAACUGCUUCUGAAUUCAUAACCCACAAGAACUGUGUGAGUCAUCACAUGUUUGAAACUGCUAAAUUUUAGAGUGACUGGUUAUGUGGCAGCACUGCAAACCCCCUAAACUGCCUCUGGGUUGUGGUUAUAAGUAACUAGUUAUCACUGUUUUAUGGAGGGUAGAAGUUAAUAGAAUUCUGGCAAAAUACUGUUUAAAUCUGCAUUUACCCCAAUGAUUUACUGGCACCCUAGCCUGCCUUUAAACUUUUGACUCAUCAGAACAGACCUUUUCUGGACAUUACCCAUAAUUAAAUGAGGGCAGAAGGCAUGAUGUCUCUUGUUUCUUAGGCUGCUAACCUGGAACUUAAUCCUAGCACUGCCAUUUGGCAGUGCAUCUGCUUAAAUUUUCAACUGUUAGAGUUUUGCAAGAAAGCAGGGGUGGAGGUUUAGCCGAUGCUUGGGUAAACCUGGAGUCAGUGUCGUAGCUGACGUUCAGGUUAGCCCUCAAAGAGCUCUCUCCACUCUCAGACAUAGAGAAACCCCCUAAGAUUGUGGCUUUCGUUGCUAGAGAAGCUAUUCUUCUCUAUUGUUAUCUGCUGAACAAGGUAAGAUUUAAAGAGCUCCAAAAAAAAUAUGCCUCAGAUAAGGCUGUGGUCAUUUUACCUAAUGUAGCCAUUCUUCAUGAGUCUGCACUUUGGUUUUUUGUGUAUAUUGUUAGGCUUCCCUUCUUAAGCAUGGUUUUGGAUUAUAUGAAUCAAUCUGGUUUUCUCAUUGUUAUAGGUUUAAGGGAAUCUAAAAAUUGGAUAUUUUAGGUAAAAUAGAUUCUAUAUAGGUACAAUAUUUUGGUACAUCCAAAAUGGUAUGGAUUAGAG